AAAGCGUGCGCAGGCGGUUAUGUAAGACAGUUGUGAAAUCCCCGGGCUCAACCUGGGAACUGCAUCUGUGACUGCAUAGCUAGAGUACGGUAGAGGGGGAUGGAAUUCCGCGUGUAGCAGUGAAAUGCGUAGAUAUGCGGAGGAACACCGAUGGCGAAGGCAAUCCCCUGGGCCUGUACUGACGCUCAUGCACGAAAGCGUGGGGAGCAAACAGGAUUAGAUACCCUUGU
rnacentral:rRNA from 1 species